rnacentral:rRNA from 1 species
UACGUAGGGUGCGAGCGUUAAUCGGAAUUACGUGGGCGUAAAGUGUGCGCAGGCGGCCGCGCAAGUCGAGUGUGAAAGCCCCCGAGCUUAACUUGGGAAUUGCGCUCGAAACUACGUGGCUGGAGUGUGGCAGAGGAAGGUGGAAUUCCACGUGUAGCGGUGAAAUGCGUAGAGAUGUGGAGGAACACCAAUGGCGAAGGCAGCCUUCUGGGCCAACACUGACGCUCAUGCACGAAAGCGUGGGGAGCAAACAGG